rnacentral:rRNA from 1 species
ACCAACAGGGAUUGCCCUAGUAACGGCGAGUGAAGCGGCAACAGCUCAAAUUUGAAAUCUGGCUCCCCUUGGGGGUCCGAGUUGUAAUUUGCAGAGGAUGCUUUGGCAUUGACGGCGGUCUAAGUUCCUUGGAACAGGACAUCACAGAGGGUGAGAAUCCCGUACGUGGUCGCCUGUCCUUGCCAUGUAAAGCUCCUUCGACGAGUCGAGUUGUUUGGGAAUGCAGCUCUAAAUGGGAGGUAAAUUUCUUCUAAAGCUAAAUACCGGCCAGAGACCGAUAGCGCACAAGUAGAGUGAUCGAAAGAUGAAAAGUACUUUGGAAAGAGAGUCAAAAAGCACGUGAAAUUGUUGAAAGGGAAGCGCUUGCAGCCAGACUUGCCCGCAGUUGCUCACCUAGGCUUUCGCCUGGGGCACUCUUCUGCGGGCAGGCCAGCAUCAGUUUGGGCGGUUGGAUAAAGGCCUCUGUCACGUAUCUCCCUUCGGGGUGACCUUAUAGGGGAGGCGCAAUGCAACCAGCCCGGACUGAGGUCCGCGCAUCUGCUAGGAUGCUGGCGUAAUGGCUGUAAGCGGCCCGUCUUGAAACACGGACCAAGGAGUCUAACAUCUAUGCGAGUGUUUGGGUGUCAAGCCCGAGCGCGCAAUGAAAGUGAACGGAGGUGGGAACCCUUUGGGUGCACCAUCGACCGAUCCUGAUGUCUUCGGAUGGAUUUGAGUAAGAGCAUAGCUGUUGGGACCCGAAAGAUGGUGAACUAUGCUUGAAUAGGGUGAAGCCAGAGGAAACUCUGGUGGAGGCUCGCAGCGGUUCUGACGUGCAAAUCGAUCGUCAAAUUUGGGCAUAGGGGCGAAAGACUAAUCGAACCAUCUAGUAGCUGGUUCCUGCCGA